GUUUUAUUGAUUAUAUUUUUAAAUNUGGCCUGCUCAAUGAAUAUUUAAAUAGCUGCAGUAUUUUGACUGUACAAAGGUAGCAUAAUCAUUAGUUUUUUAAUUGAAAGCUGGAAUGAAGGGUUUGAUGAAAUAUUAAUUGUCUCAUAAUUAAUAAAUUAUAAUUUUUUUUUUAGUUCAAAAACUAAAUUGUUUUUAAAAGACGAGAAGACCCUAUAGAGUUUUAUAAUUAAAGUAAUUAAAUUUAUUUUAUUUGUAUUUUUUUUAUUAAUUUAAUUAUUUAGUUGGGGUGAUUUUUAAAUUUAAAUAACUUUAAAUAAUUAAUAACAUUAAUAUAUGAUUAGAUGAUUUUAAAAAAAAUUUGAAUUAAAAGAUUAAAUUACCUUAGGGAUAACAGCGUAAUUUUUUUAGAUAGAUCAUAUUGAUAAAUAAAGUUUGC
rnacentral:rRNA from 1 species